CCAUGCUAUGGUAACCUCUAGAUUAGGUUACGGUAAUGUGCUCUGUCUGGGAGAUGCCUUUGAAGACUGUAGCAGCCAUCAAAGGCAGUACCACACAGACUGCAUUACUAUAAUCUAAUCUAGAGGUCAUUAUAGCAUGGA